CCUGCCCAGUGACUUUGUUCAACGGCCGCGGUAUCCUAACCGUGCGAAGGUAGCGUAAUCACUUGUUCUUUAAAUGGGGACUAGUAUGAAUGGCACCACGAGGGUUACACUGUCUCCUUUUUCUAAUCAGUGAAACUAAUCUCCCCGUGAAGAAGCGGGAAUAAGCAUAUAAGACGAGAAGACCCUAUGGAGCUUUAAACUUAAUAACACUUGCCUUUUAAUUUUAACACUUCAGAGUAUCAAACACCUACUAUGGCCUAUUGAUUAUUAGUUUUAGGUUGGGGUGACCGCGGAGCAAAAAACAACCUCCGCAUUGAAUGGGGAACACCCCCUGAACCAUGAGCCACAACUCUGUGCACCAAUAAAUUGACACUCAUUGACCCAAUAUAUUGAUCAACGAACCAAGUUACCCUAGGGAUAACAGCGCAAUCCGCCUUAAGAGCUCCUAUCGACAGGCGGGUUUACGACCUCGAUGUUGGAUCAGGGUAUCCCAGUGGUGCAGCCGCUACUAAAGGUUCGUUUGUUCAACGAUUAAAACCCU
rnacentral:rRNA from 1 species